rnacentral:rRNA from 1 species
GAUGAACGCUGGCGGCGUGCCUAAUACAUGCAAGUCGAGCGAACAGAUGAGGAGCUUGCUCCUCUGACGUUAGCGGCGGACGGGUGAGUAACACGUGGAUAACCUACCUAUAAGACUGGGAUAACUUCGGGAAACCGGAGCUAAUACCGGAUAAUAUAUUGAACCGCAUGGUUCAAUAGUGAAAGACGGUUUUGCUGUUACUUAUAGAUGGUUCCGCGCCGCAUUAGCUAGUUGGUAAGGUAACGGCUUACCAAGGCAACGAUGCGUAGCCGACCUGAGAGGGUGAUCGGCCACACUGGAACUGAGACACGGUCCAGACUCCUACGGGAGGCAGCAGUAGGGAAUCUUCCGCAAUGGGCGAAAGCUUGACGGAGCAACGCCGCGUGAGUGAUGAAGGUCUUCGGAUCGUAAAACUCUGUUAUUAGGGAAGAACAAAUGUGUAAGUAACUAUGCACGUCUUGACGGUACCUAAUCAGAAAGCCACGGCUAACUACGUG